CCUUCAUGAAGCCGGGAAUUGCUAGUAAUGGCAGGUCAGCAUACUGCCGUGAAUACGUUCCCGGGCCUUGUACACACCGCCCGUCACACCAUGAGAGUUGGGGAUACCCGAAGCCUGUGAGCCAACAGUUUACUGAGGCAGCAGUCGAAGGUAGAAUCAAUGAUUGGGGUGAAGUCGUAACAAGGUACC
rnacentral:rRNA from 1 species